AGUGAACGCUGGCGGUAGGCCUAACACAUGCAAGUCGAACGGCAGCACAGUAAGAGCUUGCUCUUACGGGUGGCGAGUGGCGGACGGGUGAGGAAUACAUCGGAAUCUACUUUUUCGUGGGGGAUAACGUAGGGAAACUUACGCUAAUACCGCAUACGACCUACGGGUGAAGGCAGGGGAUCUUCGGACCUUGCGCGAUUGAAUGAGCCGAUGUCGGAUUAGCUAGUUGGCGGGGUAAAGGCCCACCAAGGCGACGAUCCGUAGCUGGUCUGAGAGGAUGAUCAGCCACACUGGAACUGAGACACGGUCCAGACUCCUACGGGAGGCAGCAGUGGGGAAUAUUGGACAAUGGGCGCAAGCCUGAUCCAGCCAUACCGCGUGGGUGAAGAAGGCCUUCGGGUUGUAAAGCCCUUUUGUUGGGAAAGAAAAGCAGCAGGUUAAGACCCCGCUGUUCUGACGGUACCCAAAGAAUAAGCACCGGCUAACUUCGU
rnacentral:rRNA from 1 species